ACGUUUUAAAAGGCGGACGUAAGCUGUCGCUAGUGGGAGUCGGGCCCCGGCGGUGCUAUAGCUAGUUGGUAAGGUAAAGGCUUACCAAGGCGAUGAUGCAUAGCCGAGUUGAGAGACUGAUCGGCCACAUUGGGACUGAGACACGGCCCAAACUCCUACGGGAGGCAGCAGUAGGGAAUCUUCCACAAUGGACGCAAGUCUGAUGGAGCAACGCCGCGUGAGUGAAGAAGGUUUUCGGAUCGUAAAGCUCUGUUGUUGGUGAAGAAGGGUAGAGGUAGUAACUGGCCUUUAUUUGACGGUAAUCAACCAGAAAGUCACGGCUAACUACGUGCC
rnacentral:rRNA from 1 species